AAAAGGUUUAUUGAAGCUACGGCUAUCGUGAGCACCAGCGAUAGCGAGACGAUAUCGGCAGAGUCGUGUUCCAGAUCUCUACCGUGUAACCGGGAAUUAGUUCUGUUAAAUCAAACCAAGGCCAAGGGAUUUGUUGAGGAUUUUAUAAGUUUUGUCAAUCGGCUUUUCGUGGAUGACCAACAUUUGGUGGACGAACCAAGAAACAAGAUGGCGAGGCCCCGGGAUGGGAGCUCGAGCGGGAACGAAAUGUUUCCUGACGGAGACGCUUCAAUACGGUCGGGGGGGUUCUUUUGAAGAUCCUGACCUGGAGUUAUAUGUUGACUUCGGUUUUUGCAGUAAUGGGGCCCGCUCUCAGGGUCUCACGACUUGCUGAUAUUCGAUAUAUCAAUGACGCGGCCUAGAAGAUUAGCUUGCCUUCGGAGUUUCAGGAUUUAUUGGCUCUGGAGGAGGGCGGACUCGAGGUCAGUGCGUCAGCAGGAAAUCAUUGUUUCGUGAGAGAUGGAAGAUCUCUGGUUGUGUGGCAGAGACCUGAGUUCUUUGGGCACAGAGCUCGGAAAAAUCGACACAAUGGACUUUUAAGUUUGUUAAUGAGUGAGUUGCUUGUUAUGUCUCCCCUCUCACUGUGAAAAUGGAGACACUUCUUUUUCCCUUAUUAGGGAGGGAGAGAGCCUGUGGUAUGUCGAAUUACCGAGUGAAGGACUAGUCUUUGGGGUACUGCAAGUCUGUGUCUUUAUUGAUGCUUUGCUGCACGAUUGCAUGCUUGGUGGGGGGCGCUGAUUCUUUUUUUGCUGAUGAGGGAGAGGGGAUUGUUG